rnacentral:rRNA from 1 species
AUUGAACGCUGGCGGCAGGCCUAACACAUGCAAGUCGAGCGGAUGAAGGGAGCUUGCUCCUGGAUUCAGCGGCGGACGGGUGAGUAAUGCCUAGGAAUCUGCCUGGUAGUGGGGGAUAACGUCCUGAAACGGGCGCUAAUACCGCAUACGUCCUGAGGGAGUACGUGGGGGAUCUUCGGACCUCACGCUAUCAGAUGAUCCUAGGUCGGAUUAGCUAGUUGGUGGGGUAAAGGCCUACCAAGGCGACGAUCCGUAACUGGUCUGAGAGGAUGAUCAGUCACACUGGAACUGAGACACGGUCCAGACUCCUACGGGAGGCAGCAGUGGGGAAUAUUGGACAAUGGGCGAAAGCCUGAUCCAGCCAUGCCGCGUGUGUGAAGAAGGUCUUCGGAUUGUAAAGCACUUUAAGUUGGGAGGAAGGGCAGUAAGUUAAUACCUUGCUGUUUUGACGUUACCAACAGAAUAAGCACCGGCUAACUUCGUG